GGGUUGUGAGGUUAAGCGACUAAGCGUACACGGUGGAUGCCCUGGCAGUCAGAGGCGAUGAAGGACGUGCUAAUCUGCGAUAAGCGUCGGUAAGGUGAUAUGAACCGUUAUAACCGGCGAUUUCCGAAUGGGGAAACCCAGUGUGUUUCGACACACUAUCAUUAACUGAAUCCAUAGGUUAAUGAGGCGAACCGGGGGAACUGAAACAUCUAAGUACCCCGAGGAAAAGAAAUCAACCGAGAUUCCCCCAGUAGCGGCGAGCGAACGGGGAGCAGCCCAGAGCCUGAAUCAGUGUGUGUGUUAGUGGAAGCGUCUGGAAAGGCGCGCGAUACAGGGUGACAGCCCCGUACACAAAAAUGCACAUGCUGUGAGCUCGAUGAGUAGGGCGGGACACGUGGUAUCCUGUCUGAAUAUGGGGGGACCAUCCUCCAAGGCUAAAUACUCCUGACUGACCGAUAGUGAACCAGUACCGUGAGGGAAAGGCGAAAAGAACCCCGGCGAGGGGAGUGAAAAAGAACCUGAAACCGUGUACGUACAAGCAGUGGGAGCACGCUUAGGCGUGUGACUGCGUACCUUUUGUAUAAUGGGUCAGCGACUUAUAUUCUGUAGCAAGGUUAACCGAAUAGGGGAGCCGAAGGGAAACCGAGUCUUAACUGGGCGUUAAGUUGCAGGGUAUAGACCCGAAACCCGGUGAUCUAGCCAUGGGCAGGUUGAAGGUUGGGUAACACUAACUGGAGGACCGAACCGACUAAUGUUGAAAAAUUAGCGGAUGACUUGUGGCUGGGGGUGAAAGGCCAAUCAAACCGGGAGAUAGCUGGUUCUCCCCGAAAGCUAUUUAGGUAGCGCCUCGUGAAUUCAUCUCCGGGGGUAGAGCACUGUUUCGGCAAGGGGGUCAUCCCGACUUACCAACCCGAUGCAAACUGCGAAUACCGGAGAAUGUUAUCACGGGAGACACACGGCGGGUGCUAACGUCCGUCGUGAAGAGGGAAACAACCCAGACCGCCAGCUAAGGUCCCAAAGUCAUGGUUAAGUGGGAAACGAUGUGGGAAGGCCCAGACAGCCAGGAUGUUGGCUUAGAAGCAGCCAUCAUUUAAAGAAAGCGUAAUAGCUCACUGGUCGAGUCGGCCUGCGCGGAAGAUGUAACGGGGCUAAACCAUGCACCGAAGCUGCGGCAGCGACGCUUAUGCGUUGUUGGGUAGGGGAGCGUUCUGUAAGCCUGCGAAGGUGUGCUGUGAGGCAUGCUGGAGGUAUCAGAAGUGCGAAUGCUGACAUAAGUAACGAUAAAGCGGGUGAAAAGCCCGCUCGCCGGAAGACCAAGGGUUCCUGUCCAACGUUAAUCGGGGCAGGGUGAGUCGACCCCUAAGGCGAGGCCGAAAGGCGUAGUCGAUGGGAAACAGGUUAAUAUUCCUGUACUUGGUGUUACUGCGAAGGGGGGACGGAGAAGGCUAUGUUGGCCGGGCGACGGUUGUCCCGGUUUAAGCGUGUAGGCUGGUUUUCCAGGCAAAUCCGGAAAAUCAAGGCUGAGGCGUGAUGACGAGGCACUACGGUGCUGAAGCAACAAAUGCCCUGCUUCCAGGAAAAGCCUCUAAGCAUCAGGUAACAUCAAAUCGUACCCCAAACCGACACAGGUGGUCAGGUAGAGAAUACCAAGGCGCUUGAGAGAACUCGGGUGAAGGAACUAGGCAAAAUGGUGCCGUAACUUCGGGAGAAGGCACGCUGAUAUGUAGGUGAAGUCCCUUGCGGAUGGAGCUGAAAUCAGUCGAAGAUACCAGCUGGCUGCAACUGUUUAUUAAAAACACAGCACUGUGCAAACACGAAAGUGGACGUAUACGGUGUGACGCCUGCCCGGUGCCGGAAGGUUAAUUGAUGGGGUCAGCGCAAGCGAAGCUCUUGAUCGAAGCCCCGGUAAACGGCGGCCGUAACUAUAACGGUCCUAAGGUAGCGAAAUUCCUUGUCGGGUAAGUUCCGACCUGCACGAAUGGCGUAAUGAUGGCCAGGCUGUCUCCACCCGAGACUCAGUGAAAUUGAACUCGCUGUGAAGAUGCAGUGUACCCGCGGCAAGACGGAAAGACCCCGUGAACCUUUACUAUAGCUUGACACUGAACAUUGAGCCUUGAUGUGUAGGAUAGGUGGGAGGCUUUGAAGUGUGGACGCCAGUCUGCAUGGAGCCGACCUUGAAAUACCACCCUUUAAUGUUUGAUGUUCUAACGUUGACCCCUAAUCGGGGUUGCGGACAGUGUCUGGUGGGUAGUUUGACUGGGGCGGUCUCCUCCUAAAGAGUAACGGAGGAGCACGAAGGUUGGCUAAUCCUGGUCGGACAUCAGGAGGUUAGUGCAAUGGCAUAAGCCAGCUUGACUGCGAGCGUGACGGCGCGAGCAGGUGCGAAAGCAGGUCAUAGUGAUCCGGUGGUUCUGAAUGGAAGGGCCAUCGCUCAACGGAUAAAAGGUACUCCGGGGAUAACAGGCUGAUACCGCCCAAGAGUUCAUAUCGACGGCGGUGUUUGGCACCUCGAUGUCGGCUCAUCACAUCCUGGGGCUGAAGUAGGUCCCAAGGGUAUGGCUGUUCGCCAUUUAAAGUGGUACGCGAGCUGGGUUUAGAACGUCGUGAGACAGUUCGGUCCCUAUCUGCCGUGGGCGCUGGAGAACUGAGGGGGGCUGCUCCUAGUACGAGAGGACCGGAGUGGACGCAUCACUGGUGUUCGGGUUGUCAUGCCAAUGGCACUGCCCGGUAGCUAAAUGCGGAAGAGAUAAGUGCUGAAAGCAUCUAAGCACGAAACUUGCCCCGAGAUGAGUUCUCCCUGACCCUUUAAGGGUCCUGAAGGAACGUUGAAGACGACGACGUUGAUAGGCCGGGUGUGUAAGCGCAGCGAUGCGUUGAGCUAACCGGUACUAAUGAACCGUGAGGCUUAACCUUACAACGCCGAAGCUGUU
rnacentral:rRNA from 1 species